rnacentral:ncRNA from 1 species
AUAAGUAAUCUGUGGUUGUCAAGCAUCCAUGGCGACAUUUCUUUCUGACUUUUCGAUUUCAGCUCUUCCUAUUAUAUCGAAGCAGAAUUCAGUAAGCGCUGGACUGUUAACCCGCUGACAGGGAAGAUUAUUUGGGUUUAGACCGUAGUGAGAUAGGUU